rnacentral:rRNA from 1 species
AUUGAACGCUGGCGGCAUGCCUUACACAUGCAAGUCGAACGGCAGCACGGGAGCAAUCCUGGUGGCGAGUGGCGAACGGGUGAGUAAUAUAUCGGAACGUGCCCAGUCGUGGGGGAUAACGCAGCGAAAGCUGUGCUAAUACCGCAUACGAUCUAAGGAUGAAAGCGGGGGAUCGCAAGACCUCGCGCGAUUGGAGCGGCCGAUAUCAGAUUAGCUAGUUGGUGGGGUAAAGGCCCACCAAGGCGACGAUCUGUAGCUGGUCUGAGAGGACGACCAGCCACACUGGAACUGAGACACGGUCCAGACUCCUACGGGAGGCAGCAGUGGGGAAUUUUGGACAAUGGGCGCAAGCCUGAUCCAGCAAUGCCGCGUGCAGGAUGAAGGCCUUCGGGUUGUAAACUGCUUUUGUACGGAACGAAACGGCCCUUUCUAAUACAGGGGGCUAAUGACGGUACCGUAAGAAUAAGCACCGGCUAACUACGUGCCAGCCGCCGCAGUAAGAC